AACGAACGCUGGCGGCAGGCCUAACACAUGCAAGUCGAGCGAUCCUUUCGGGGAUAGCGGCGGACGGGUGAGUAACGCGUGGGAACGUACCCUUUGCUACGGAAUAGCCUCGGGAAACUGGGAGUAAUACCGUAUGUGCCCUUCGGGGGAAAGAUUUAUCGGCAAAGGAUCGGCCCGCGUUGGAUUAGGUAGUUGGUGGGGUAAUGGCCUACCAAGCCGACGAUCCAUAGCUGGUUUGAGAGGAUGAUCAGCCACACUGGGACUGAGACACGGCCCAGACUCCUACGGGAGGCAGCAGUGGGGAAUCUUAGACAAUGGGGGCAACCCUGAUCUAGCCAUGCCGCGUGAGUGAUGAAGGCCCUAGGGUUGUAAAGCUCUUUCAGCUGGGAAGAUAAUGACGGUACCAGCAGAAGAAGCCCCGGCUAACUCCGUG
rnacentral:rRNA from 1 species